ACGCUCGACACCUACUGGAGGCAGCAGUAGGGAAUCUUCCACAAUGGACGCAAGUCUGAUGGAGCAACGCCGCGUGAGUGAAGAAGGUUUUCGGAUCGUAAAGCUCUGUUGUUGGUGAAGAAGGAUAGAGGUAGUAACUGGCCUUUAUUUGACGGUAAUCAACCAGAAAGUCACGGCUAACUACGUGCUAGCAGCCGCGGUAAUCUGAGCGGGCUGGCAAGGC
rnacentral:rRNA from 1 species